AACGAACGCUGGCGGCAUGCCUAACACAUGCAAGUCGAACGAGACCUUCGGGUCUAGUGGCGCACGGGUGGGUAACGCGUGGGAACCUGCCUUUAGGUUCGGAAUAACUCAGAGAAAUUUGAGCUAAUACCGGUUGAUGUUUUCGGACAAAAGAUUUAUCGCCUUUAGAUGGGCCCGCGUUGGAUUAGCUAGUUGGUGGGGUAAAGGCCUACCAAGGCGACGAUCCAUAGCUGGUCUGAGAGGAUGAUCAGCCACACUGGGACUGAGACACGGCCCAGACUCCUACGGGAGGCAGCAGUGGGGAAUAUUGGACAAUGGGCGAAAGCCUGAUCCAGCAAUGCCGCGUGAGUGAUGAAGGCCUUAGGGUUGUAAAGCUCUUUUACCCGAGAUGAUAAUGACAGUAUCGGGAGAAUAAGCGCCGGCUAACUCCGUG
rnacentral:rRNA from 1 species